rnacentral:rRNA from 1 species
UCGAGGACGAACGCUGGCAGCGUGCCUAACACAUGCAAGUCGAGCGAGGAGAUUCCUUCGGGAUGAUCCUAGCGGCGGACGGGUGAGUAACACGUGGGCAACCUGCCUCAUAGAGAGGAAUAGCCUUCCGAAAGGGAGAUUUAAUACCUCAUAACAUUGCAGUUUCGCAUGGAACAGCAAUUAAAGGAGUAAUCCGCUACGAGAUGGGCCCGCGGCGCAUUAGCUAGUUGGUGAGGUAACGGCUCACCAAGGCGACGAUGCGUAGCCGACCUGAGAGGGUGAUCGGCCACAUUGGGACUGAGACACGGCCCAGACUCCUACGGGAGGCAGCAGUGGGGAAUAUUGCACAAUGGGGGAAACCCUGAUGCCAGCAACGCCGCGUGAGUGAUGACGGCCUUCGGGUUGUAAAGCUCUGUCUUCAGGGACGAUAAUGACGGUACCUGAGGAGGAAGCCACGGCUAACUACGUGCCAGCCGCCGC